CAGAGCAGUUAGAGGGGUUGGGGGUGGUUGCUGAUUCAAUUCCUUCUGCUUCUCAGCUCUAGGUGUCUAUUAUGCAGAAGGAAGCUUGCCACCUGAACAAUGGAAAACAUCUGACUCUGGAGAAAACAGAGAUAGUUGAGAAGAAAAGACUUUCUCAGUGGCCAGUCCUAAGGAUGUUUGUAGUGCAAAAUGACUGCUACAGGUUACUCAUGAGCAACAGAACUGACCUCUCCUGGUACUUUGCAAGCUGCUAUGGUAAAAGACUCACAUAAGAAAAGAUCCUGUGGAAACACAGAAGAAUGGAAUCUUAGAAUGGCAAGCAGCAGUAUAACGUUUUAAGAAACGAGCAUAUUGCCUCUCAGCAUUUUGUUGUGCUAUAACGAUUCAAAGAUGGAAAAUCUUUGAAUUUAAACCAGAAAUUAAAACCUUUGAAUUAAAACUGAAAAAUUUAAACCAGAAAUCAUAGCAAUAGUGUAGUAAUGUUAUGUUAUUGUUGUUACAAUAAUUUUAAUUUGCAUCUGUGUCCCAUACG
rnacentral:lncRNA from 1 species